rnacentral:rRNA from 1 species
UACGUAGGGGGGCAAGCGUUGUCCGGAUUUAUUGGGCGUAAAGAGCGUGUAGGCGGCCAGGUAGGUCCGCUGUGAAAACUCGAGGCUCAACCUCGAGAUGUCGGCGGAAACCAUCUGGCUAGAGUCCGGAAGAGGAGAGUGGAAUUCCUGGUGUAGCGGUGAAAUGCGCAGAUAUCAGGAAGAACACCCGUGGCGAAGGCGGCUCUCUGGGACGGUACUGACGCUGAGACGCGAAAGCGUGGGGAGCGAACAGG